rnacentral:sRNA from 1 species
UACAAAUACUUCUAUGGUCUACUUUAUA